AUUGAACGCUGGCGGCAGGCCUAACACAUGCAAGUCGAACGAGUGGCGGACGGGUGAGUAAUGUCUGGGAAACUGCCUGAUGGAGGGGGAUAACUACUGGAAACGGUAGCUAAUACCGCAUACCAUCAGAUGUGCCCCGAUGGGAUUAGCGAGUAGGUGGGGUAAUGGCCACCCUAGUCGACGAUCCCUAGCUGGUCUGAGAGGAUGACCAUCCACACGGGAACUGAGACACGGUCCAGACUCCGACGUGAGGCAGCAGUGGGGAAUAUUGCACAAUGGGCGCAAGCCUGAGGCAGCCAUGCCGCGUGUAUGAAGAAGGCCUUCGGGUUGUAAAGCACUUUCAGCGGGGAGGCGUUACCCGCAGAAGAAGCACCGGCUAACUCCGUGCCAGCCGCCGCGGUAAUAC
rnacentral:rRNA from 1 species